UCCCAGCAAUGGUGGAUUAGCUUGCUUCAGACUGACUCCUGCUAUGAACAAGAAAAAUUGGUCAAACUUAUUUUAAAAAACAACCCUGUUUGAAGGUAAGCCAGACCAUGGGAGCAGCAGAGGCCUAAGGACUCGCAGUUGUGGAAAAGACUGGAAGCUUAGAGAGGUGAUAGAACGUUCUCUUUCAAGACCCUGUGCCUUAUUGGCAUAGGUUCACUGCUCACAGGCUACAGACUACCUUGGGUUGACUGUACUGAUGGCGGUGGCUUGGCUACAGCCUUUGAGCAGUAGUACCCUGAUGAAAUACUGCAUAUCUUCUGUGUGAAAACUCAGACCUGACAGCUAAAAUGGCAGAAGCAGCAGCUUGCACUCAGUACUGAGAAUUGGCUUCAGGACUCCAGUCGCUGGGAGGAAUCGGCAUUGAGCACCAUGGGAAACAAAGCCAGAGAGGAAAGACAGACCACACAGCCCACGAAGCCAUUACUGUGACCUCACUUAACCCACACUAUUAGUUCUGAAAGCUGCUAAUCCCCAAGUGGAUGGACCAUCACCAGUGUCCCCCUCCAUGCCUCCCGGUACUGGGGAGAUCAGUUGUGAUUCCCACUUGUGCCCCAAACCCUCAACUCCUCCUGUGCCUAUGACACGUGCUCCCGGCAUCCCACGCACUGGGAAAGUCAGAUGUGUCUCUGCCACCUCUGUGCACUUCACUUAGGGUGAGAACAGUCACAGAACCACACUGUAACGGGACCUGACAACAUUACAAUAAAGUCUUUCUUGGGCUUCUUUUAUGCCACAAAAUUAGCAAGCAGGACCGUUUCUGUACACAAAAUAAUACAUCUCACAUUUCACUUCUCGUACACGUUUCUAAGGAGGCCCUUUGCCCAGAAGGUGGGGCUUUCUUCUUCGCACGAACCUGAUGAUCAGGAGACAUUUGUGUAUGGUAUAUUGUU